UACGUAGGGGGCAAGCGUUAUCCGGAUUUACUGGGUGUAAAGGGGGCGCAGACGGCGAUGCAAGCCAGGAGUGAAAGCCCGGGGCCCAACCCCGGGACUGCUCUUGGAACUGCGUGGCUGGAGUGCAGGAGGGGCAGGCGGAAUUCCUGGUGUAGCGGUGAAAUGCGUAGAUAUCAGGAGGAACACCGGUGGCGAAGGCGGCCUGCUGGACUGCAACUGACGUUGAGGCCCGAGAGCGUGGGGAGCAAACAGG
rnacentral:rRNA from 1 species